GCCUGCCUAGCUCAAUCGGAUAGAGCGUCAGACUUUUAAGAGCGGGUUAAUCUGAAGGCUGCGAGUUCGACCCUCGCGGUGGGCU
rnacentral:tRNA from 2 species